AUUGUUCAAAUCGCAAAACUGUUAUGAAUAAAUACGCACAGCUCGAGUCCGCUUUAUAUGUUUUACUAUAUGCGUUGUUGCACUACGAGUUUUCCAGAAUUUCGAUCGUAAAACCAAGUGGAAUAUUUCGGGACAAAUUGUUUAUUUACACAAGAUAACGGAAAUUUUUGGGACA